rnacentral:tRNA from 7 species
GCCCAAGUGGCGGAAUUGGUAGACGCACCAGAUUUAGGUUCUGGCGCCGCGAGGCGUGGGGGUUCGAGUCCCUUCUUGGGCACCA